rnacentral:rRNA from 1 species
UCUUUUUGUAAUUAAUUUAAAGUCUAUUCUGCUCACUGAUUAUUUAAAGAGCCGCGGUAUUUUGACUGUGCAAAGGUAGCAUAAUAAAUAGCUUUUUAAUUGGAAGCUGGAAUGAAAGAUUGAAUGAAAAAUUGACUGUCUUCAGUUUAAAAAUUAAAAUUUAAUUUUUUAGUUAAAAAGCUAAAAUUUUUUUAUGGGACGAGAAGACCCUAUAGAUUUUUAUUUAAAUGUAUUUAAUUUUAUUGUAAAGUUUUAUUUUUAAAAUUAUUUUAAAUUUUAUUGGGGUGAUAUAAAAAUUUGUAUAACUUUUUAAUUGGUUUAGUUAUAAAUAUAUAAAGUUUGGAUCUUUUAUUAUUGAUUAUUAGAUUAAAUUACCUUAGGGAUAACAGCGUAAUUUUUUUGGAAAGUUCUUAUUGAAAAUGAAGUUUGCGACCUCGAUGUUGAAUUAAGAAAAUGAAUAGGAGGAGAAGUUUAUUUAAUUAGUCUGUUCGACUAUUAAAUUCU